AUUGAACGCUGGCGGCAGGCUUAACACAUGCAAGUCGAGCGAGCGGCGGACGGGUGAGUAAUGUCUGGGAACCUGCCUGAUGGAGGGGGAUAACUACUGGAAACGGUAGCUAAUACCGCAUACCAUCAGAUGUGCCCAGAUGGGAUUAGCUAGUAGGUGGGGUAAUGGCGCACCUAGGCGACGAUCCCUAGCUGGUCUGAGAGGGUGACCAGGCACACGGGAACUGAGACACGGUCCAGACUCCGACGGGAGGCAGCAGUGGGGAAUAUUGCAGAAUGGGCGAAAGCCUGAUGCAGCAAUGCCGCGGGUAUGAAGAAGGCCUUCGGGUUGUAAAGCACUUUCAGCGAGGAGGCGUUACUCGCAGAAGAAGCACCGGCUAACUACGUGCCAGCAGCCGCGGUAAUUC
rnacentral:rRNA from 1 species